rnacentral:misc_RNA from 1 species
AAGUCGUAACAAGGUUUCCGUAGGUGAACCUGCGGAAGGAUCAUUAAAGAAGCUUUGAAGGCCCCAGGUUGUCGCUGGCUUUUUGCCCCUCCAAGAGGGGGGGAAAGGCAUGUGCACGCCCGCGGUCGACAAACUCCAUCCUUCACACCCCAGUGCACCUUCGCGUGGGGCCCCUCUUCUGCAAAGGAGAGGGCCCCGCGUUUUAUUUUACAUACCCUUCUGCAUGUCUUCGGAAUGUCCGUCGCCUGCGACGUUAAAGCAUAAAAUUAUACAACUUUCAACAACGGAUCUCUUGGCUCUC